rnacentral:ncRNA from 1 species
UUAAAGUUUUAUUCUUGCUUUAUUUAUUUGUUUUUAUAUUAUUUUAUAUGUUAAUUUUUGUAUAAUAAUUAUUUCUUAAUGGAUUGUUAUGUAUUAUUUGUUUUUAAAUUGAUUUGCAGUAAUGAAUAUUAUAUAUUUAGGUUACUUUGAUUUAGUUAUUAUUAUUAAUUAUUGAUUAAAUAUGUGCCAGCAAUCGCGGUUAUACAUUGGAUAUGAAUAAAUAUUUUUAGUUGUUGUGGUUAUAUUUGUUGAAUGUUAAUUUUGUUUUGAUUAUUAAUUAGGUGGAAUUAUUAAUAUUUGUUUUUUAUUAUUUUGUUUUAUAAGAGGCUAUGAAAUUUUUAGUAUAUAAACUAGGAUUAGAUACCCUAUUAUUUUUUAUGUAAAUUUUUGGUGACUGGGGUAGUAUUAGUUGGUCUUGAAACCUAAAGAAUUUGGCGGUGUUUUAUGUCUUUUUAGAGGAAUCUGUUCCGUAAUCGAUAGUCCGCGUUGUAUCUUACUUUUUAAAUUAGUUUGUAUACCGCCGUUGUUGAAUAUUUUUUUAGAAUUAUUUAAUUUUCUUUAUUUUUUAUUUGAAUUUAUUUCAGGUCAAGGUGCAGCUUAUGAAUGGAGUGGAAAUGGAUUACAAUAUUGUUUUAAUAUAUGAAUAUUGUUAGUAAUUACUUUUUGAAGGUGGAUUUAAUAGUAAUUUUAUGUAGAUUGUUAAAAUGAAAUAAGUUCUGGAACAUGUACAUAUCGCCCGUCACUCUCGUUAAUUGUUUAUAAGAUGAGAUAAGUCGUAACAAAGUAGAUGUACUGGAAAGUGUAUCUAGAAUUAU